ncrna:unclassified sequences Actino-pnp RNA
AAUGGUCCUCGGUAGUGGUUUCCGGAUGAUUCAUCCGUGAACUUCGAUCGAAGAUACAUU